UUUACUGAAGGGGACUCUGUAAUCCACAGCAUGGAGGAAUCUUUGGUCCCACUUGGCAAACUGAUUUGCUACGUGGGGCAGUGGGUGCAUCUCAAGGACUCCUGGGCCUGUCUCGGAAUUCAUGACAUUGUCACCUCUUUCCUGCCUGGCCCUAAUCUGCAUUUGCCACCCAACUUGAAGUGACCUUGGGAAGUGGAGAGAAACCAGCCAGCAAAUUCAGUUCUCAUGCCCUUGUUCUGCUGCGUUGCCAGCCCAGGGGAGGUGGGGGCUCUUUCUGUCAGAAAUAGACUUGGUAGACAAUGGCCUCACUAAUGGUUCUCAUAGGAGCCUGCUGUCUUGACCCCUUGAGGAAUUUAGGGGAUUACCCUGGCUUGAAGAACUGAGUGACACCUUUGCAGCUUCGUUUACUGAUGGCAAUCAAUUUCUACCUCUUUGGAGCCAACCCUGAGUAUUUUCUUAUAUUAAUGUGAGUUUGUUGCCAAGGUGGGAAUGACUUUUCUGUCCUUAGGACUUGAGGACCUUGAUCUUGGUGGGCUGGGAACCUCUUAAAGUGUACUAAGUUCUGGGUUGUCUCAGAGAGACAAGAGUUUGCGUCCCAGUGGGAGCCCUGGUGCUGGAGUCUGGAAUGGGAAUGUCUUUCUGUAUGUGUGCAGUCUGUGGCUUUUGAACUACCUAUGACCCAACACAUGCAUGUCACUGAGGUUGGACACCCCUGAGCAAAUACAUCUGUUCUGUGCCUGGUGUGAUGGGAUGGCCCCUGGUAGAGUCUCAGUCCUGAGGAAAGCCACCCAAUGGGACCACCGGUUGGGGGCUGGGCUCAAGGAAAGGAUCCUUAUGAGCUACAUGCUCUGUCCUGUCUUGAUGGCCAUUGUUUCUUGCUUCUCCACAGUGGAGCUUAGGUGAAUUCUUUACAUCAAGAAUUAUUUGAGCCCGACAAUGGUAGUGCAUGCCUUUAGUCCCAACACUUGGGAGGCAGAGAAUCACUGAGUUUGAGGCCAGCUGGUGAGUUCCAGGAUAUUUGAAAAGCUGUGUCUGUGGGUUUCCUGGUGUACUUCAGGAGGUCAGGGAAUGGUCAUGCACAGGUCAUUCUUUGCUGAACUCUUUCUUCUGAGAGAGAUCUGUUCUCUCUCAGAGGAUAAGAGUAUAUCAGAUUUUUAAAGGUGGCCUGGAAUAAUUCUUAGUCUUUUGCUGUGAGACAGUGGUUUUACCCUGUAAAGAUUUGUUUCUUAUACCGGUUUAAUAAAUGCUGAUUGGACAGUAGCCAGGCAGGAAGUAUAGGCAGGGCAACGAGAAUUCUGGGAAGAGGGAAGUUUCAGUCUGCAGUCGUCACCCAGACAGAGAGGAAGCCAGACACAGAGCAAGCAAGAUGUGACUGCCUCACCGAAAAAGCUGGCUCUUAUACUUUUAAGUCUAAAGCAGACUUUUGGUGUCAAGACUGAAAUCCUGAGGGAACACCAGACCAGAAAAGAAGCUGACCCUUGGGAGAAAUGUCCUUCCAAGAGGACACGGGGGUAUCAGCAGUACUCCAAUAUGUUCGUGUGAAAAAAGAGACACAGCGAUGCCCGGACUAUUCUACGCCUUCCCAGUUGCAUGCUACUAGCGAACGGAGCCAUGAGGAUGGUCAUAGAGCAUUUGGAGCAAGAACAUCUGGCAAUCCCUGACCUCUAGACUUCUGUUGCCUAGUGACCCACUGUGCUGGGUAGACACAGUAACUCAUGGCUGUGGUUGAAAAACUGACCAUUCUGCUUGAGCAGGCAAGGUGCUACAAGAAACAGAAUGAAGCUGGGACCCCAAGCACUGCUCUCAAGACACCUUGAAAACUUGGAGGCGGCACAUGCUUUUAAUCCCAGCAUUUGGGAGGCAGAGGCAGGUGGAUCUACAGACCCAGCUCCAGGACAGCCAGGCCUACACAAAGAAACCCUGUCUUCAAAAACAAAACAAGACAGCCUGAAGCUCUGGGGGGCCUGAAGUGGUGGUUGGCUGAGAUGCAGGCUGCUGCCAGGCAACUCUGUGAGCUCAUUUUGUGGCUUCACUGGAAGCACAUCAAAUACUUGGCACUAGGGCUUCCCUCCCCCGGAGACCAGAAUGCAAGUUCUUGCUCUGAAAUGUGACAUAGUGCCUGUCACUUGCUGCACAGGGACAUGGAUACACCAAGAACCCUUUUUCCUGAUGUUGGGAAGUGCAUACAUUUUAACUCUGGUGGAAGGCAGUGGAUGGGUAUCUAGGGACGACCAGACAACCAAUGUGUAUGAGA